CAAUUUGAGAGUUUGAUUCUGGCUCAGAACGAACGCUGGCGGCAGGCUUAACACAUGCAAGUCGAACGAUAAACUGGAG
rnacentral:rRNA from 1 species